UACAGAGGGUGCGAGCGUUAAUCGGAAUUACUGGGCGUAAAGCGCGCGUAGGCGGCUUUGCAAGUCGGGUGUGAAAUCCCCAGGCUUAACCUGGGAACUGCGUCUGAUACUGGAAGGCUUGAGUAUGGGAGAGGGAUGUAGAAUUCCAGGUGUAGCGGUGAAAUGCGUAGAUAUCUGGAGGAAUACCGGUGGCGAAGGCGGCAUCCUGGACCAUUACUGACGCUGAGGAGCGAAAGCGUGGGGAGCGAACAGG
rnacentral:rRNA from 1 species